rnacentral:lncRNA from 1 species
ACUACGAUAGUGAUUUUAUAGAUGCGAAUGUGAAGAAAGUUGGUGAUAGUACUAACUCUAAAAAUUACUUUUGAGGCAAAGACAUAUGUGUACAAACACAUAGGCCUAUCUAAUCAAUUCUUGAAAAAUAUGGUAGAAGAAAAAAUGCCUCAAUUUGAUUAUUCUGAUUCAGAUCGUGAUGGUGAUUGUAACACCUUAAACUAGCA